GCAUCUAGAUUAGUUUGAUCAUGGCUCAGAUUGAACGCUGGCGGCAGGCCUAACACAUGCAAGACGAGCGGAUGACGGGAGCUUGCUCCUUGAUUCAGCGGCGGACGGGUGAGUAAUGCCUAGGAAUCUGCCUGGUAGUGGGGGACAACGUUUCGAAAGGAACGCUAAUACCGCAUACGUCCUACGGGAGAAAGCAGGGGACCUUCGGGCCUUGCGCUAUCAGAUGAGCCUAGGUCGGAUUAGCUAGUUGGUGGGGUAAUGGCUCACCAAGGCGACGAUCCGUAACUGGUCUGAGAGGAUGAUCAGUCACACUGGAACUGAGACACGGUCCAGACUCCUACGGGAGGCAGCAGUGGGGAAUAUUGGACAAUGGGCGAAAGCCUGAUCCAGCCAUGCCGCGUGUGUGAAGAAGGUCUUCGGAUUGUAAAGCACUUUAAGUUGGGAGGAAGGGCAGUAAGCUAAUACCUUGCUGUUUUGACGUUACCGACAGAAUAAGCACCGGCUAACUCUGUGCCAGCAGCCGCGGUAAUACAGAGGGUGCAAGCGUUAAUCGGAAUUACUGGGCGUAAAGCGCGCGUAGGUGGUUCGUUAAGUUGGAUGUGAAAGCCCCGGGCUCAACCUGGGAACUGCAUCCAAAACUGGCGAGCUAGAGUACGGUAGAGGGUGGUGGAAUUUCCUGUGUAGCGGUGAAAUGCGUAGAUAUAGGAAGGAACACCAGUGGCGAAAGCGACCACCUGGACUGAUACUGACACUGAGGUACGAAAGCGUGGGGAGCAAACAGAUUAGAUACCCUGGUAGUCCACGCCGUAAACGGUGUCAACUAGCCGUUGGAAUCCUUGAGAUUUUAGUGGCGCAGCUAACGCAUUAAGUUGACCGCCUGGGGAGUACGGCCGCAAGGUUAAAACUCAAAUGAAUUGACGGGGCCCGCACAAGCGGUGGAGCAUUGUGGUUUAAUUCGAGCACGCGA
rnacentral:rRNA from 1 species